AUUGAACGCUGGCGGCACGCCUAACACACGCAAGUCGAGCGGCAGCGCGAUAUGUAGCAAUACAUAUUGGCGGCGAGCGGCGGACGGGUGAGGAACACGUAGGAACCUACCCUCGAGUGGGGGAUAACCAAGGGAAACUUUGGCUAAUACCGCAUGAUUUCGAGAGAGCAAAGCUGCCGCAAGGUGGCGCUCGAGGAGGGGCCUGCGUCCGAUUAGCUAGUUGGUGAGGUAAGAGCUCACCAAGGCGAUGAUCGGUAACUGGUCUGAGAGGACGACCAGUCACACUGGGACUGAGACACGGCCCAGACUCCUACGGGAGGCAGCAGUGGGGAAUAUUGGACAAUGGGGGCAACCCUGAUCCAGCGAUGCCGCGUGAGUGAAGAAGGCCUUCGGGUUGUAAAGCCCUUUUGUUGGGAAAGAAAUCCAGCUGGCUAAUACCCGGUUGGGAUGACGGUACCCAGAGAAUAAGCACCGGCUAACUUCGUGCCAGCAGCCGCCGCGGUAA
rnacentral:rRNA from 1 species